AUGUCUCUUGAUAAUCCCCACACAGCUCACAUAUGUACCUGGUUCUUGGCAGCUUACUUCAUCAUUGGGUUAUCAGAAGCUAGUGUAGACACAAUAAGAAGAGCUCAUGCAGUUCAUCCCAUCACUUCCUUACAAAUGGAGUAUUCUCUGUGGACCCGUGAUAUUGAAGAUGAGAUAAUUCCACUUUGCAGAGAGCUUGGCAUUGGGAUUGUGGCAUAUAGCCCUCUUGGUCAUGGGUUCUUUGGUGGGAAAGCAGUCGUGGAGAGCUUGCAUAACGAGAGUAUGCUGGCCAUGCAUCCAAGGUUCAUGGGGGAGAACUUAGAGAAGAACAAACUUCUAUAUGCCCGACUUGCCAACCUGGCUGCAAAGCAUGCACUCCGCCUCAGCUAGCUCUGGCCUGGCUUCUUCAUCAGGGAGAUGAUAUAAUCCCAAUCCCCGGGACAACUAAAGUUAAGAAUCUUGAUAACAACAUUGGAUCCUUGGCAGUGAAGCUUACACAAGAGGAUUUGAAAGAAAUUUGUGAUGCUGUGCCCAUUAAUGAAGUAGGUGGUGAAAGAUUUCCAGCCACCUUAUCUAAGUAUACCUGGAAAGUUGCAAAUACCCCAUCAAAGUGAUUGCAAAUUAUAGAUAUGAA